UACGUAGGUCCCGAGCGUUGUCCGGAUUUAUUGGGCGUAAAGCGAGCGCAGGUGGUUUAUUAAGUCUGGUGUAAAAGGCAGUGGCUCAACCAUUGUAUGCAUUGGAAACUGGUAGACUUGAGUGCAGGAGAGGAGAGUGGAAUUCCAUGUGUAGCGGUGAAAUGCGUAGAUAUAUGGAGGGACACCGGUAGCGAAAGCGGCUCUCUGGCCUGUAACUGACGCUGAGGCACGAAAGCGUGGGGAGCAAAUAGG
rnacentral:rRNA from 1 species